rnacentral:tmRNA from 1 species
GGGGAUGUCUUGGCUUUGACAGCAUGACGAAGUGAUGUGUAAGCAUGUAGUGCGCUCUCCUGUCAGCACUAUAAUCUCGAUGAGAGAACCUUUUUAACUGGCGAAAAUAACUACGCUCUCGCUGCGUAACCGAAGAACAGUAGGUUAACUGCUUAAUCACGACUAAGAUUGUCGUGACGAGACAUCACCCAGGUAGCCCUUUGCCCCGAGGCGACUUGAUACGGUGGUGCCGGAAAAUCGGAGCUCGCUCUGCGAAGGCCCUUGGCGCAGAGUCAGAUUUAGAGGGCUAAGGUGCAGCUUUGGUGGCCUCUGCCGCUUGCUGUGCCCGACAAUUGAUCAGAGGCUAAACAUGUAGAAAGCAGAUUAGUUCCAUGUUUGGACCGGGGUUCGACUCCCCGCAUCUCCACAG